rnacentral:rRNA from 1 species
CCCUUAGAUGUUCUGGGCCGCACGCGCGUUACACUGAUGCAUUCAACGAGUCUAAAACCUGGUCUGAUAGGGCUGGGUAAUCUUUUGAAUGUGCAUCGUGAUUGGGAUAGAUGAUUGCAAUUCUUCAUCUUCAACGAGGAAUGCCUAGUAAACGCAAGUCAUCAGCUUGCAUUGAUUACGUCCCUGCCCUUUGUACACACCGCCCGUCGCUCCUACCGAUUGAAUGUUCCGAUGAAUACCAUGGACUGAGAGUAUGAAUGGGUUCGCCUAUUUCUGCUUCUCGGGAAGUGGAGUAAAUCUUAACAUUUAGAGGAAGGAGAAGUCGUAACA